rnacentral:misc_RNA from 1 species
GGCAUUUCCCCCGAUUUCUUUGUUAGUGUCUAUUCCUUACACAACAACUCUUGGAAGGACCUGAGACCUGAUUUCCCUGACUGUUGUAACUUACACAAGUCCAUUGGCGCUACACAUCUCAACGGGGUAUAUUAUUGGAUCUGUGGGCUUCGAGACAAUAUCUUCCGCAUGUGCACGUUUGAUAUGGGCAGCGAACAAUUUGGGGAGAUGCAAGGCCCGUAUAUUCCAUACACACAAUGGGGAAAGCUUAUGUUGCGUGGUGACUCGCUAGCUAUCUUAGUUGGUGGUUUUGGU